rnacentral:rRNA from 1 species
UACAGAGGGUGCGAGCGUUGUCCGGAAUCACUGGGCGUAAAGGGCGCGUAGGUGGCCUGGUAAGUAGGGGGUGAAAUCUCGAGGCUCAACUUCGAGGCUGCCUCCUAAACUGUCAGGCUUGAGCAGAGUAGAGGCAGGUGGAAUUCCCGGUGUAGCGGUGGAAUGCGUAGAGAUCGGGAAGAACACCAAUGGCGAAGGCAGCUCGCUGGGACGUGACUGACGCUGAGACGCGAAAGCGUGGGGAGCAAACAGG